rnacentral:rRNA from 1 species
AGAACUAAAGUUUAAAUAAAUUUGAAAUAUUUAUUAUAAAGAUUUAAAGGGACAAUUAUGGAUAAUAAUAACUAUUAAUAAUAAGGUUACUAAUAAAUAUAUUUUAUAAUAAUAUUUUAAAACCUAAGGUAAACCAUUAUUAUAUAUUUUAAAAAUAUAUAAAUUAUAUUAAACUAAGUGAACUAAAACAUUUAAUUAACUUAAGGAAUAUAAAUCAACAGAGAUAUUGAGAGUAUAGGUGAUAGAAAUCGAUAUAGUCAAUAAGUAUUAUGUUAUUAAUUAAUGUAAGAAUAUAGGAUAACAAAUUCUAAGACUAAAUAUUAUUAAUAAGUUUAAAGAAGUACCGUAAGGGAAAAUUAUUUAAAUAGUUGUUCUAUAAGCAAUUAUAUAUAUUAUAUUAAAUAAUAUAAAUAAUGUACCUUUUGUAUAAUGGGUCAGCAAGUAAUUAAUAUUAGCAUAAUAUUAAAAUAAAAAAUGAUAUUAAAAAUAAUAUAAAUAUUUAACAAUGUUAAAAUUAAUUAAAAUAAAUUAAAUUUAGUUAAUAUUAAUUAACCCGAAAGCAGAUGAUCUUACUAUUAUCAAAUGAUUAAAAUAUAUAUUUAUUAUAUUUAAAAUAUAAUAAAAUAUAAAAACGAUUGAACAGGUUAAUGUAGCAAUAUUAUCUGAUGAAUAAUGGUAAGUAGAGAAAGUCAAAUCUGAUUUGCAAAUAGCUGGUUUUCUACGAAACAUAUGUUAGUAUGAUUAUUUAAAUAUUAGAUAUAUAUGGUAUAGUUAUUAAUAUUAUUUAGGGAAUAAUUAUUUAUUUUAUUAAAAAUAUUAAAUCUCAGAAUAUAUUAUUAAUCUAAAAUUAAAUAUUUCAGAUUAUUAGCGAUAAGGUUAAUAAUCAAAAGGGAAACAGCCCAGACUAAUAGAUAAAGUUCCUAAUUCUUAAUUAAGUGAAAUUAAUAUUUAAUAAAUAUAUAACAAUUAGUUGAUGGUUUUGAUAAUAAUCAUUCUUUAAUGAACAUGUAACAAUGCACUAAUUAUUUUUUAUAAAAAAUAUUUAUUUAAAUCAUUAUUUUUAAUUAAAUAAUGUAAAUAAAAAAUACACGGAUCUAAAUUAAUAACUGAAUCUUUAGAUUAUUAUUAUUAAUUAAUAAAAUAAUAAUAAUGGUAGUAGAACAUUUAAUGAUAUAAAAUAUAAUUAUUAUUCAAUUAUAUUAUUUAAAAAGAAUUAAAUAGAGAAUGCUGACAUGAGUAACGAAAAUAAGGUAUAAUCCUUAUCACCUAAAGCAUAAGGUUUAACAAUAAAAGCGGUUCUUAAGUAAUAUAUUAAAAAAUAUAAUAUGAUAGAAAUAAUCUAAUAUAUAAAUUAACUUAAAUAAUGUCUUUAUAAAUUUAUUAAGUUCAAGAAAUAUUUAUGUAUAAAAUACCGUAAUGUAGACCGACUCAGGUAUGUUAGUAGAGUAUAUGAAGGUGAAUUAGAUAAUUAAAGGAAAGGAACUCGGCAAAAAUAGCUCUGACGUUAGUCAAUAAAGAGAUAUUAAUUAAAAUAAUAAUUAAUAAUAAGAACAAAGUUGUACAACUGUUUACUAAAAACACAACACUUUGCAGAAACGUAAGUUAAAGUAUAAAGUGUGAACUCUGCUCCAUGAUAAAAUAUAAAAAUUAAUAUUUUAAUAAAGAUAAUAAUAAUAAAUU